GCCGGGUAACGCAGGCUCCGGCGUCUCAAAGACGGUCUCCGUCCAAGUCCUGC
rnacentral:ncRNA from 1 species